rnacentral:tRNA from 1 species
UGGGGGUAUCGCCUAGCGGCAAUGGCAAGAGACUGUAAAUCUCUCGACUUCGGUCUGCGUUGGUUCGAGUCCAACUGCCCCCAA